CCCUUAGAUGUCCGGGGCCGCACGCGCGCUACACUGAAGGAAUCAGCGUGGCUUUCUCCCUGACCCGAAAGGGUUGGGAAACCCGUUGAAUCUCCUUCGUGAUAGGGAUUGGGGCUUGAAAUUGUUCCCCAUGAACGAGGAAUUCCCAGUAAGCGCGAGUCAUAAGCUCGCGUUGAUUACGUCCCUGCCCUUUGUACACACCGCCCGUCGCUCCUACCGAUUGAAUGUUCCGGUGAGCUCUUCGGACUGCGCGGUCUGCAGUUUCUGCGUUCCGUGCGGAAAGUUGUGCAAACCUUAACAUUUAGAGGAAGGAGAAGUCGUAACA
rnacentral:rRNA from 1 species